UACGGAGGGGGCAAGCGUUGUUCGGAAUUACUGGGCGUAAAGGGCGCGCAGGCGGCUGCUCAAGUCAGGCGUGAAAGGCCUGGGCUCAACCCGGGAAUUGCGCUUGAGACUGGGCUGGCUUGAGUGCGGGAGAGGAUGGUGGAAUUCCCAGUGUAGAGGUGAAAUUCGUAGAUAUUGGGAAGAACACCGGUGGCGAAGGCGGCCAUCUGGACCGCAACUGACGCUGAGGCGCGACAGCGUGGGGAGCAAACAGG
rnacentral:rRNA from 1 species